AUGGCACCGAAAGCAAAGAAGGAAGCUCCUGCCCCUCCUCAAGCCGAAGCCAAAGCAAAGGCUGUGAAGGCCAAGAAAGCAGUGUUGAAAGGCGUCCACAGCCGGAAAAAAAAAAGAUCCACACAUCACCCACCUUCCAGCGGCCCAAAACACUGCGACUCCAGGGGCAGCCCAAAUAUCCUCAGAAGAGCGCCCCCAGGAGAAACAAGCUUGACCACCAUAUUAUCAUCAAGUUGCCGCUGACCACUGAGUCUGCCAUGAAGAAGAGCGAGGACAACAAGACACUUGUGUUCAUUGUAGAUGUUAAAGCCAACAGGCACCAGAUCAAACAGGCUGUGAAGAAGCUCUAUGACAUUGAUGUGGCCCGGUCAACACCCUGAUUCGGCCUGAUGGAGAGAAGGAGGCAUACGUUCAACUAGCUCCUGAUUAUGAUGCUUUGGAUGUUGCCAACAAAAUUGGGGUCAUCUAA
rnacentral:lncRNA from 1 species